rnacentral:ribozyme from 1 species
UGCCCAGCAACUCCUAUCCCUACCUCCACGCGGUACCGGCCGGAAACUAUGAGCAACCUUAGGGAAGAUCGGGUAACCAACCACGGUGGGAACUUUGGUCAUAGGCUGACAGGGAAGG